UGCUAAUGGAAAAGUCUCUGGUUAGAUUCUUAAGCCACAGUAAGCUAUGGGAAGGAUGUUACCAAAAGCCCUAGGACUGUUUGCUGGUAUACUGUCCUUUUGUUGCCUUCCCUGGGUUCCCUAUGCCCUGACUGCUGAUGGUUGGGACAAUGUCUUCAAGUGGCUAUGGGGUUGCCACCCAGAACUGAACCUGUGCCAUGUUCCUGUCACCAGCUGGCUCUGGCACGGCUCUCAGGUGCCCUGGGGUUCUCCAGGAGGAUGGUUUCAGUUCAGGACUUGUCAUUGUUGCCCAGCCAAGAACUCAAAAGCUGGGGGAUGCCAGGUUGCCCCUGCUAAAAUUGUCCUUCAGGCAGGUGGAGGCAUCUGACUGGUGGUGUUCAUUUUUUAAUCCCACCCAUGGGUUUCUUCUCAUCUGUGAUAGAGAGGAGCUAAGAAAGCAUCGUAAAGACCACAGUAGGUGUUGGCGCUGAGUGAUGGGUCUGGAUCUGCACUGUAUGCCCUGGAUCAGGGAUUGAGGGCAGGAGAAAGGCUUGUUCCUCUCAAGCACUGAAGAAACAGAUUAGGAACUUGUAAUGAGGAAGAAGGUCCUCAAAAACCCCUACUUUAGUAGACCCUGAGAUUUCGAAGCCUAAUGCCUUGUAUAAGAAGAUUGGAAACCACGGGCAUUGCAAUGUACUUCAAACUGCAAUCCUAUAUUAAGGUCAGAGCCCAGUCUCUGGAUCACACCAUCCCCUGGGAGUCAUCUCUCCUCUGUGCACAUUCCAGGCCUCCUAUUUUUUUCCCAUUGAAAUGAUUUUAUUCAUAGAAUAGUUUGAGUUGGAAAUGACCAACUUAAACCUCUAAAGGUGGUCUAUGGUCCAAAUCCCCUGCAAUGAUCGGGGAUAUCCACAGCUCCAUCAGGUGCUCAAAACCCUGUCCAGCCUCAUCCCUUUUCCCCAAGGGAUGGGGCUAUUUUCUCUGGUACCCACAACAGUAUUGUAUCGGAUGGCUGAAAUGGGGUGGUUGUGUGAUGUACUCCACACUGGUUCCAAAGGAAACCCCACAAAGCAGGAUCAACAGCCUCUAUCUUCAUCAGCAGGU
rnacentral:lncRNA from 1 species